rnacentral:tRNA from 1 species
GGCUUUAUAUUCAAAAUUGAUUUUAAAUUGCAAAUUUAAAGGUGGGUUAUUCCUAAGGCUU